UGGGGAAUAUUGCACAAUGGAGGGAACUCUGAUGCAGCAACGCCGCGUGAAUGAUGAAGGCCUUCGGGUCGUAAAGUUCUUUGAUUGGGGACGAUAAUGACGGUACCCAAAAAACAAGCCACGGCUAACUACGUGCCAGCAGCCGCGGUAAUACGUAGGUGGCGAGCGUUGUCCGGAUUUACUGGGCGUAAAGGAUGCGUAGGUGGAAAUUGAAGUGGGGUGUGAAAUCCCUGGGCUCAACCCAGGAACUGCAUUCCAAACUGGAUUUCUUGAGUACAGGAGAGGAAAGCGGAAUUCCUAGUGUAGCGGUGAAAUGCGUAGAUAUUAGGAGGAACACCAGUGGCGAAGGCGGCUUUCUGGACUGUAACUGACACUGAGGCAUGAAAGCGUGGGUAGCAAACA
rnacentral:rRNA from 2 species